rnacentral:rRNA from 1 species
AGCGAACGCUGGCGGCAGGCCUAACACAUGCAAGUCGAACGAAGUCUUCGGACUUAGUGGCGGACGGGUGAGUAACACGUGGGAACGUGCCUUUAGGUUCGGAAUAACUCAGGGAAACUUGUGCUAAUACCGAAUGUGCCCUUCGGGGGAAAGAUUUAUCGCCUUUAGAGCGGCCCGCGUCUGAUUAGCUAGUUGGUGAGGUAAUGGCUCACCAAGGCUACGAUCAGUAGCUGGUCUGAGAGGAUGACCAGCCACAUUGGGACUGAGACCCGGCCCAAACUCCUACGGGAGGCAGCAGUGGGGAAUCUUGCGCAAUGGGCGAAAGCCUGACGCAGCCAUGCCGCGUGGAUGAUGAAGGUCUUAGGAUUGUAAAAUCCUUUCACCGGUGAAGAUAAUGACUGUAGCCGGAGAAGAAGCCCCGGCUAACUUCGUGCCAGCAGCCGCCGUAAGAC